rnacentral:rRNA from 1 species
UGGGGAAUUUUGGACAAUGGGCGCAAGCSUGAUCCAGCCAUGCCGCGUGCAGGAUGAAGGCCUUCGGGUUGUAAACUGCUUUUGUACGGAACGAAAAGCCUCYUUUUAAUAMAGGGGGKUGAUGACGGUACCGUAAGAAUAAGCACCGGCUAACUACGUGCCAGCAGCCGCGGUAAUACGUAGGGUGCAAGCGUUAAUCGGAAUUACUGGGCGUAAAGCGUGCGCAGGCGGUUAUGUAAGACAGAGGUGAAAUCCCCGGGCUCAACCUGGGAACUGCCUUUGUGACUGCAUAGCUUGAGUGCGGCAGAGGGGGAUGGAAUUCCGCGUGUAGCAGUGAAAUGCGUAGAUAUGCGGAGGAACACCGAUGGCGAAGGCAAUCCCCUGGGCCUGCACUGACGCUCAUGCACGAAAGCGUGGGGAGCAAACAGGAUUAGAUACCCUGGUAGUCCACGCCCUAAACGAUGUCAACUGGUUGUUGGGAAUUAACUUUCUCAGUAACGAAGCUAACGCGUGAAGUGACCGC